GUCUUGUAGAAUCACAUGUCCAUGUUAGGUUAGAAUCUCCUGCAUGCACCUCAAGCCUGAAUAAAUGAUGCCCUCUAACAAAAUUUUAGUAUUGGAGAGUUUGACUCCUAUAUUUUGGACAUUGGUAACAGUAAUUUGGCAACCCAGAUGGGACUUCAGCCUUGAGCCCUGGAGGGUCUGUGGCCAAUAGAUCUCCAGCUAGCUCUGAGGGAUUCUUGGGGAGAGCUUUGACUUCUGAUCAUCUCCUGGGGCUCAGGGACAAUCCCUGGUCCUCUUUCUCUUCCCCCCUGUAUUGUUGUCACUAGUUGGGGCAUAUGAGGGAAGGCAGGCUUGUUACUAGGAGGCUCGGCAUGGCAACACCUAAUCUCCAAUCAAGAUGUAAGAAAGUAAUCUCCACCAAUGGGUGGCAGUUUCAGAGAGACAAGCACUGGUACUAAAUAAGGAAAGGGUCGCCCAGAGGAAAUCUGAAAGACUACCGGCCUUUAUCUAGAGACCACCGGGAGGCAGGAUACGACCACCUAGCAACAGAAGAACACAUACGCAGAGUACAACUUAAAGGACACGUCGGCAGGAAACGAUACAGCAUAAAAACCGACUGGAACUGACUGUGGUCGUGGCAGUUGGCGGAGCGCAGACUCUCCUGCCGCCCAGCACUGAUUUGCU